AUGAAAAUCUUUCUCACAUGUUUUAGAUGCGAAGUAGUAAUGCUUCAUGUGCUCCAUUUAUUUGUUUAUAAGGAAAUUAAUUUAUGUAGAUGUGUAUGUGUAUGUACAAUGGAUAACAAUGCGUGGUACAAACUAUACAAAUCAUGCAGAAAAGAAAUCUGCCACCAAAUUGUGUCAUUCUGUUUUUUGCCAGAAAUAAGUAUCUGUGUCUACAUUUCAUCUUCUCACCCCUACAUCAGUUUCAAUGCCACGGUCUUCCUGAUGAUCAUGCCACCAGAAGAUGGCACUGAAAAACCCUGUCCUACAGCUGUAGCUUCUCAUGAAGACUGAUGAAAAUGUCUUCAAUAUGAUCCAAAUGGCACUUAAGCCUCAGGGUUCACUUCAUGCCUUUUGAUGCAUCCCUGAUCAGGCUUUGUUUUGGGAUAUGUGAUGGUAUAGGACCAUUAACCGUUACCAGUAAGUACUAAUGUUAAUUACAUUGAGCACAAUCCUCCAGUUGGUCCAUCUGUUAUUAAUUUCUUAUACGUUAUCUAUUCUUGUUUGGGGUUUUCUCUGUGCUCCAGGAACACGUCUUCUAGUUUUAUUCUGGCUUAAUUUAAAUGAUGUUAGCUCCUGUAUGCCUCAGUGAAACACUUCUGUGCUUUUUUAAAUUUAGCUUUCAUUUUUCAAGUGAUUUUUGAAGAUUAUGUUUGCAUGUGAUUUUAAUGUUUAGUUAUGGUGUUGCAUCUGAAUCUUUAUCUUAUUAAACAACUUUAACAUCUUGUAUUUCAUAUAGUGCACCUUUUGAAAAAAUCAAUCUCAGUAUAUUUUUGGAUUUGGGCUCUUUCCCUCAGGUUUGAAUACCGCCUUUUGUUUCUUCGCUAUCAUCAUGAAAGUGGUUUCCGUUUCCCGUACUAAAUUUCUCUUUCUUUUUCAGAUGGUUAUCAACUGAAAACAGUAUUUUCAGUAUUAUUCCUCUGCUGCUUUACUCCUGGUGGGAGCUCAGCCCCGCUGCUGCCUGAAACGGUAGUGCCGCAGACAGGUUGUAGCUCUACGGCCAUCAGCCCGCAGCGCUUCGUGCACCGCAACUAAUUGCUGUGAAGUAAUAAGCCGACAUAAAGCAGUCAGAUUAGGAUUUAGAUAAUUGCAGUAUGUUUAAAUGCGGGCUCCUGGCUGUUAGUUACCGUGGUGGGGAGCCGCCGGGCAUAGCCGGGCGCGCAGCUCCAUCUCCCGGGCAGCGGGGAAAGCCACCGGCGGCCGGGAUGAACCCACCACAGACCCGGCCACCGGCGGGGGACAGGGAGCCCUCCCUUUAGAAAUGCCGUCAGGACACUUCGAAGAUUGUUUCCCUCUGCUUGGGGAGUAUCUCAGCCUUUGCCUGACAGGGCAGUACAAUAUGUCGUGGCUGAAGAGCACUACAGAAAAUUCCAACAUCUGGCUUGGGGAUGGAAAAACCUGGAAAGCUGAGCACAAAGCAAGUUUGGGAAAUAGGGUUUGGGCACAGAGGCAUGUUCUCCUCCUCUGUUUGGUAAGUUUUUCAGAGAUAAGCAGUGAACUGGCCCUGAGAAACACUUUAGCUGUAAAAUUUGAGGUUUCAUAAAUCUAAAGGGUGGGUUGAGGUUAAGGUUAAGUUUAGGAUCUGGGAAAAUAAGUGCUGCAGAAGCAGGUUUUCUGCUGGAUUUUGCAGUCAUGAGAUUGGUACAGUCAUAUAUGAAUGCCUCGUUAAACUUGGAGGAGCCAUAGGUGUUUAAGAUCUUGUAGGCUGACAGUUGCAACUCUCUCUAGAGUUUGGAAAAGGUAAUUUGGAGGCAUCUUUUCUGUUGUAUGUGUAAGGCUCCCGGAGGUAAAGGGAAGGUAGGUCUGAAGAUAUUUAAUGGUUUUAUGCAAACUACCCAGGGCAACAGGGCAGUUGAGGUCAAGUUCAGGAAAAUAGAUCCCAGAAAUAGUUUCUCGUGGUGAAAGUAAGGCUUAUAGAGAUAUCUUUCCUGCUGCAAAGGCCCAUGAGAUCAUUUGAGAACAGGCAUCUACAUGCCUUAUUCUUAUUUUUGGGGUAGGAAGAGUGUUGCUAUGUUUUUGUGAAGUGAACAGAGAAGAGAACAAGGACUGCAGGAUCAGGUUUGCAUUAUGUUUUUGCAAGGUCUCCUCAAAGAUGAGUAAGAGCUGGUACAAAGGAAAGAUUUCAUCUUGAACUCUUGGAUAGCUCUCCUGAAAGUUAGGGUCAAGGCUUGUCUUCUGGUAGCCAUACAAGUAAAUACCAAGCUGAAGUGAGGAGAAUCUAAUGUGAUAUUCUUGAUUCUGGUGUAGCUUAAGCAACACUUUAUCUUACCUGUUUAAGGGUUCAUGUUUGGUUACAGAGUAGGAAGCAGUGCUUUCAAAGCCCAGACAGGGCUAGUACUGAUAGAUGUCACUGCCUCAUAUUUAACUUCAAAGCAGCCAUGAAUUUCAGGGAUUUGGUCAGGACUAGUGUUAAGGUUUGGAAUUCUGCAGAAGUCAUUUAUUUGCAGGUUACUACAGAAUUUCUGCAGGUUAUUUUACGAAGCCUGAUGCAGUUAGCUUGCGGUUUGUAGUUGUGGAUUUAAGGAGCUUAAUUUUUUGGGCAGCAGGUGGUGCUUGGUCUACACGAUCAUUUUAGUAGCCAUUAACCAUUGAACGGCUUGCUAUGACAUAGCAUUCAGUAGUGGGUGCUACAUGCUGCCCAUUUUUCACUGAGGGCUUUCAGCAGGACAAGUGAUGUGGUUAUGUGUGUUUGUCAUGGGAUUGGUGUUUGUGCAAAUCACUAGGAUAACCGGGAUUAACCGGAGGAUGGAGCAUGUAUAUGGUUGCAUUUUAAGCAAAUCAUGAUCAGGAUGGUUAUGAUCAGGAAUAUCAGAAAUAAAGGGAGAGAGAACUCUUGCCCCUGCUUCA
rnacentral:lncRNA from 1 species